CUCUGAUGUCUUUUCCACAGAAGAGCAUUUUGCAGAGGAAAAUACUACAGUAGCAAUUAACUACAAACAAUGUACCACUUCCAAAUUGUGAAGGAUUGUGUGGGCUGGCCCUACCUUAUGAAUUUGUGGAUCUGACAGAAUGAAGCCACUGAAGGGCAUUUCUGGUGGCCUGAUCACUGAUGUUCCAUUUCAAGUGUGCCACCUCUACCAAGGCUCAUGAGAAAUGCCAGCAGCUCUUUGUAAAGCGAUCACUGUUCAAAAUAACAGAAGCAUUCAUGAUGGGGAACAUUAGGAAUAAAUUCAAGGUUCGAGACUGGACCAGGUAUGUCAUUAAAUGCAUACAAGAGCAAAAGCUGUAAGUCCCUGCAUCAAACA